UUUGUCCAAAUGCUUACGUGGAUCACCAUAAGAGGCUAGUGCUUUUACCGGUCGUGAUCUUUGAAGGCUUCAAAGUGCUCAUCAUUCUUGCGUUCACAAUUGGGAUGAUAAUCUUGAGAUUAUGAUGGCUCAGAAGGUACGGUUGUCAAUUUACUUUUUCUUUUUGCUAUUUAUUUAUUUAGGAACUCCAUGUAUAAAAAAGCUUACAAGUAAAGCCAAAAACUCUUAAAAAGCUUCACCAUAAACCAUGAUUUUCCCUAAUUAUCUUUUUUCUUUCUAUCAAUAAAAAGCAAAAACUCAGUCGCCAUUCUCAGAAGGUUGAAUCCUCAUAUAAUCCAAAUAUUUUUUUCCAUAGACCUUGAGGGUGGAGAACUGUUUGCAGUAGUCCUCCAUUCCCACCCUUCUGAACAAUGGAGGGUUUUCUGCAUUUAUAAGACUCAAUGAAGGCCCUACCUCCGUCUCAAAGUUAGGACUUAAGUUGAAGGUAACUGUUAUUCUUU
rnacentral:lncRNA from 1 species